CCACCUCAUAUCUUUGUUUCCAACAAAAAUUGCUGGAUACCAACAAAGUUUGUUUCCAACAAAAUUUUUUAAACAAAAAAUGUUAUGAAAACAUAAGAAAUACACCCAUUUCUCCUGGUUCCUCUCUGCACAUCUACCAAACCGCCAUGAUCUUUAUCUCUUUUGCCAGCGACCACGUCCCUCCUCACAUGUAUGACGGUCAUUUGAUGAGCUCUUCGCCACCGCAACUGUCAUCAUGGUUGGAACCGACAUCGGCAUGUGGUUGUUGUUUUUUGUUUCCGUCAGCUCUUCUUUCAUUACCACCGCCGUUGGAACCUUUCAUCUCCGAUGGAGAUAAAUUAAUGUUUUUGGUGUUGUUUUCUUCUCUGAAACCAUCACCCCUGUUAUUUUCAAUUCCCUCCUUAACAAAAUUCAAUAAAAAAUUUGCAAAUACCCAUUAAAGUACGAUCAAAACCCAGGUUAUGAAUUGUGUUUUGAUUUCGUCGACGGCGGCGGACAGCAGAGAAAAAAGUUGAUGGUGGUGGUGGGUUGAAGUGUUGUGUAGAAACGCAGGCUAGGAGGAGGAUCAAUCCAAAUAUGUAUUGUGUUUUGUUGGUACUCUGACGAGAAGUAGUUUCGUAGGAUUGAUCCAAUAACCGAUACUUCUUUUAGCAAAAAGUGUCAUAGAGGCUGUCUGUUGAGAAUUUGCAUUUGAGUUAAUUAUUCGUGUGCUCCAUCGCUAGAAGAGGCAGAGGAAAAAGAAUUGACAUGAACAAUGAAUUGACAUGUGAGUACCUAAAAGAAGCAACCACAAAAAGAAUUGACAUCGAUUGAGUAGCUCUGGCUAUGUCUUUUCUGCUUCUUUGCCUCCAUAUCUUGCAAGUGCUGCCAUUACAACUAUUGACGUCCUUGAGGAAAAUCCCAAUCUAUUAGCAAAGUUGAAGAGCAACAUUGAUGUGUUAUGGAGAGGGAGGGUUUGAUCUCAUUGCUACUGUCAUGAAUUGAUGUUUAUUUAUGCCUUUGCCAGCGUAUAAAACAUUGAUUUUAUAAUUUAAGAACUUUGAUUCUGAUACAUUGGCUACUGCAGGGCUGUCAAAAAUACCAGGCUUCACAACUGCAAGUCAUCCAGAGUCGCCAAUUGUUUAUUUGAUUUUAAGGAAUUCAAUGGGUUCUUUGAAAGAUAACCUACAGCUGCUUGAAAAUAUUGCCGAGCAUGUUUUGAAAGAAGAUUCUGUAUUUGUGGUGGCUUCCAGAAGAUCGACAUUGGACAAGUGUCGAUUACCUCUAUGAAUUAGAUUAUUUGUUUCUGCAGCGCAUUCAGAGUCCGAUCUUCACAAGGGAUCUGAGUCAUUGAAAAGGGUUGCAGCAUGGUCAUAAAUGAACCAUGUACACCUCUCUUCUGCUUCUUUUCAUGCACCAAAAUGUCAGUUCUAUUCAUUCCACUUUUAGUUGAGGUUGCCGAAGGACCCUGCCAAUGAUCAAUAUUACACUAAUGAUGUUGAAGAAUAUGAGUGCAAGAUGUUAAGGAAUGAAAUAAAGAAACAAAGGUCUACCAUGAUUUUGGUAUGUACAAGUUUGUAAAGUAAAGGGGCAGCAAAAACAAUUAGUUGUUGUAAGGAUUACUUAUGUGUAAUAUAGUUUAAAUUUUAAUGUUGUCUGAACUGCCAUGUUGCAGUUUGAAUUUUGACUUAGAAGUAAUUUAUUCCAUUCCUAUACUUUAGCCGUG